UCAAAAUCCAAGUAGAAGAUAAAUUUUGGAAUAAGAAGAAACCUGUGUAUGCUGAAAAGAAAUCACAGAAGGAUUGUUGAGAAGAAUCUAGAGUUCAAGUUCUGGUCACAUGGUGUGGGAGAUGAAUAUUUCUAACUCGGACUGAGAAGGAAAUCUGCACAUAAAAGAUAUUCAAGCUUUUCCCUGCUCUGGAACACCAGGACAAUUGCUCAGGGCCACCCCCCCC